rnacentral:rRNA from 1 species
GCUACGGGUGGCAGCAGUGGGGAAUAUUGCACAAUGGGCGAAAGCCUGAUGCAGCAAAGCCGCGUGAGCGAUGAAGGCCUUCGGGUCGGAAAGCUCUGUCCUCAAGGGAGAUAAUGACGGUACUUGAGGGGGAAGCGACGGCAAAUGACGAGACAGCAGCAGCUGGAACAGGGAGGGUGCUAGCGUUAUCAGGAAUUACGGGGCGGAAAGGGUGCGUAGGCGGGUUCUAAAGUCAGAGGUGAAAGGCUACGGCUCAACCGUAGUAUGCCGUUGAAACUGGGGAACUUGAGUGCAUGAGAGGAGAGUGGAAUUCCUAGUGUAGCGGUGAAAUGCGUAGAUAUUAGGAAGAACACCAGUUGCGAAGGCAGCUCUCUGGACUGUAACUGACACUGAGGCACGAAAGCGUGGGGAGCAAACAGGAUUAGAUACCCGAGUAGUC